rnacentral:rRNA from 1 species
UAAUUAAAAUGUUUAUAUUUAUAUAUCCCGAAAACAAAAGAGCUAGGAUUUUAUAUAUGUUAAUGUAAAAUAAUUAUUUAAGAUAAAAUUCUUGUAAUUAUACGUUAGUCGAGUUUGUUUAUAUCUGGUUUUUAAAGAAAUUAAUUUAAUUAAGCUUAUUAACGGUUAUUUUUAAAUUUUAAGUUAUAACUAUUUUUAAAGUAAUAUUAAAGGGGAAAAGCUUUUUAAUAUAUUUUUAUAAUUAAAAUUUAUAAUUUUUAUUAUUGGAUUGAUAGUGUCCAUUAUUUAAAGUGUGUAAAAACUUAGAAAUAAUAUUUUGGAUUUGUUUUUAAUUUAAUUUUUUAUUUAAAAUUUCAAUUUAAUAGUUUAUUUGAAUAUAUAAUGAUAAAAUUAGUAUAGUUUAAUUUAUUUUAUUAUUACAUUUGAAAGAUUAAUAAAAGGAACUAGGCAAAUACUCUUCUUGCCUGUUUAAUAAAAACAUGUCCUUUUGAUUUUAUUUAAGGUCAGGCCUGCCCACUGAUUUAUUUUAAUGGCCGCGGUAUUUUGACCGUGCAAAGGUAGCAUAAUCACUAGUUUUUUAAUUGAAAGCUUGUAUGAACGGUCUCACAAGGAAGAAUCUGUCUCUUUUUAAUUUUCCUAAAAUUUUAUUUUUUAGUUAAAAAGCUAAAAUACGUUUAAGGGACGAGAAGACCCUAUAGAAUUUAAUAUAUAAAUAAUAUUUUUUAUUUAAGAAUUUUAAUAUACUAUGUUUUUAUUUAUUUUACUGGGGUGGUAAGAAAAUUUAUUUAACUUUUCUUUUUUUUUAUCAUUAAUUAAUGAUUAAUUGAUCCAUUAUUUGUGAUUUUAAGACUAAAUUACCUUAGGGAUAACAGCGUAAUUAAAUUGGAGAGCUCUAAUCGAUAAUUUAGAUUGCGACCUCGAUGUUGGAUUAAAAUAAAUCUUAGGCGGAGAAGCUUAAGGGUUAAGUCUGUUCGACUUUUAAAAUUUU